AUGGGAAGGCCGGUUGUGGUACAGCCCUGGAUCGUACCCAGGUCUGUAAGGAAGCCUCUAGCACUGCGAAGCAAUGUCUUAGACCGCUGCGCCACUCGGGAGGCCCUAGGGAGACCUUUUGGUAAACCAACCACAGUUACCAGACCUGAGCUGCAUUUUCAAUUGCUUGCCCUACAUUCUAAACCAGCCUGUGUUGCCUUGCCUCUGUUUGAGGUGAGAUGUCUGUCUGAACCGGUUGUCUUGUCUCCUCCAGGACUUGCACACUAUUUACUGUCACUUCUACCACAUGGAUGUCCUGUCCCACCUCAGGGAGCACCAGCUCAGGUCAAUGAGUACCUCAGCCAGGUAUGAGAGACACGAAGCUAACCAGGUCCUGUUCUACGCAGACAGCAUCUCCACAUGCUGGUACACCCUCCUGUCCGGUUCAGUUAUCCUCAAGGACCACAUGUACUUGGCCAGAUGCUGGUAGGUUCCAUCUAUGUUCCAUUUAUCAGCACACAGCCCUUCACCAGGGUUGGGUAGUAAAGGAUUACAUGUAACUAAUUUAAAAAAUAAUAAUAAUGUAAUCUGUUACGUUACCAGCAAAAACAAAUACUUUGAAACUAGAUGAUUACGUCCAGGAUUACUUUUAAAGUCACAAAUUAUUUUUGAGAACAUUAUUUGACACCUUUCUGUUUUCUCAAUGACAUUCAAAUCAGCAUUGAAAAAAUAAAAGUUUAAGUUUGUUCCACCUGAGUGAGUCUGACCACAAGUCAGAGACCACUAUGACACACCAAAUGUGUUUGAUGGAUCGUGGGAAAAGAGCAGGAACAGGCUUUUGUAGGCUACAGUCCAAGCUAUGUCUUCCAAUGGUGCGACUGCUGUCAGCAUCCAAAGAUUAUCCAACUUGAAUAAACGCUUGUAGGUAAGGAUGACAACAGUGGUCUACAGCGAUACGGAUAUCACUUAUUAUUGACAUCUGCAUUGAUGUGAAUCACACUGCUGCUCUCUCAUUUAGCUAUUUUUGCCUUACAGAUUUCGGUUCCUGUGGAUGGCUAUGCAUUUGAACCCAAUAAUUGUUCAAUUGAAGUUUAAGCUGCCUAUCAAUCAUUGUUUUUGUGCUCUUGCAACAGCUGCAUAGUGGGGUUCCUAGCCUAUGGAAUACAAGAUUCAGGGAGUUCCUUCCUUUUUAAACUCCUCCGUGGUACUACAUUUACAUGUUAGUCAUUUAGCAGAUGCUCUUAUCCAGAGUGACUUGCAGUUAGUGCAUUCAUCUUAAGAUAGCUAGGUGGGACAACCACAUUUCAUAGGCAUAGUAAGUACACUUUUCCUACAAAGUAGUUAUCAGCAAAGUCAGAGCUAGAAGACGGGGAGGGGGUAAAGUGCAAGUGUUGGUUCAGGAAAGUUUUUGUGCUCGAUACUGUUGAACUCGUAUAAUUUAAGAGUUCCAUAUGGCUCUGGGCAAAAGUAGUGCACUAUAAAGGAAAUGAGUUGCCGUUUGGGACGCAUCCAGAGAGGCUGGUAGUGUGAUAUAUUCAGCUCUGGAGGUGUGUCUCCUAUCUUGCAGCAGCAGUGUGCUUCAGAUCUGUGUUGGCUUUGAUAAGAAGAGAUGUGAUGAAGCGCCUGUAAUACUACUUUUACAUAGGAUUUACUGUGUUCAACCUAUAAAAUAUUAAACAUUUGGGCAAUGUUUAUAUGAGUUAACCCCUUUACACACAGGCCCAUUUCUUAAGACAUUCUUGCCUGAAUACACUUUUUAUGCACAUGCCGGUGAUGAGUGGUAGUAGUGGUUUGCAGAUGUGGGUGGGCCACUAUUUGAAUAAAUCCAUUGAAUAUACAGCAUCAAAAAGACAUCCAUUAUUCAUUUGUUUAGGCAGGUCCUAAGAAACAUCAAGACUUUUUAAAUGUAUUUUUUAAACAAUAGAAUGGCGUAUUGAGUUUAAUUAUGUUAAGUCCAAAUUAAUGAAAUCAAUAGUUUAUUUAGUUAAACAGACAAGACACACCUACCCCGAUCAGUCAAUACACAUAUACAUAUAUAUAUUUUGUAGUAAGAAUGUAAUUAAAUAUAACAGAAUAAAAUAGCAGCGUGUGGAACCGCUGUCAUAUAAAAACUACCUCUUGCCCAAGGCAAGCCCAUGCUUUUUCUUUUCCACGUUUCACCUCUUUCCUACCCUCACUCCGCUUUGUUAGGGAGCAGAAAAUAGCCAUCUAUAUGUUCAAAAGCAUGUGAGUCUCGUGUUGAUACUUCACAACCUCCAGGCUUUUGGAGUCUCCUUUACACGAUUUAGCAAAAUAAUAGGCCUACACUUGAUAUAAACUAAAUACAGUGGCCUACACUUGAUUUAGACUAAAUACAGUGGCCUACACUUGAUUUAGACUAAAUAAAUUGGCCUACACUUGAUUUAGACUACAUUAUUGCAAGCUAAAUGUUUCUGAUCAGUGACAGAUUAGCAAACUAAUAGACGAGCUAUACCACCUCCACUUAUUAACCAAAUGUACAGACAGAGAUUCAGUGAAACAAAAUCAGCAUUACGGCUACAUUUUAUACUAAGCCGUAGGCAGAACUUUACCGCAAUCAUGACUUGGUCGGUUGGUGGAAAAAAGUCUUUGCUAGGUAAAGCCCCGCCUUAUCUCAGCUCAAUGGUCACCAUAGCAACACCCACCCGUAGCACGUGCUCCAGCAGGUAUAUUUCACUGGUCAUCCCCAAAGCCAACACAUCCUUUGGCCACCUUUCCUUCCAGUUCUCUGCUGCCAAUGACUGGAACGAAUUGCAAAAAUCACUGAAGUUGGAGACUCACUAACUUUAAGUAUCAGCUGUCGGAGUAGCUUACCGAUCACUGCAGCUGUACACAGCCCAUAUGUAAAUAGCCCAUCCAACCAACUACCUACCUCAUCCACAUGUUUUUCUGCUCUUUUGCCCACCAGUAUUUCUACUUCAUCAUCUGCAUAGCUAUCACUCUAGUGUAAAUUGCUAAAUUGUAAUUACUUCGCCACUAUGGCCUAUUUAUCGCCUUACAUCAUUUGCACACACUAUACUGAUUAAUCUAUUGUGUUAUUGACUGUACGUUUGUUUAUCCCAUGUGUAACUCUUGUUUUUGUCGCACUGCGGUAAAAUACCGUUUUCUUUUAAAUAGAGGCUUUGUCACCAGCAAUACCUUUCAUAUAUAUAUAUAUAUAUAUAUAUUUUUUUUUUUAAAGUUGGAGGGAUACUAAAGUUGGCGGAAAAACGUAUUGUUUGAAAGGUGUUUUAUAGAGCAAUUCUAACAGUUGCUCACAGUCAUUUUAACACACUUAAGUAGGGAUCAUGUCUGUGAUGGAGUGCAGCUUUGAUGAGAGUGUGAGAUUCCUCCAGCAACACGUGACUAUAAUAACUGCAGCUGCCAAUAAUGAGGUGUGUGUGUGUUGCUGAUUGACUGCAGAUGUCUUGGACACAGACACACCAGCCAGGCCCAUUCUCACUGCUUAUUGUUUUUUGUCUGCCUGCAUCAGUUGGUCUCUCCAACACGCCCUCACUCCUCUACUUUGUCCUGCCCAGACAUAAAACACAAUCCUGAACCAAUUAGUUUUGUGAGCUCAAGACUGAAAGUGUUUUGAAAGAGAAUUUGCACAUAGAACCACUUCCUCUACCCCAUUUAGGCUAGUGCCAUCCAAUUUAUUAAUAUUUCCAAGAGCUCCCUGCCUAUAGACAAUUAAGCCAUGUUUACACUGCAGGCCUUAAUACUCAAAUCAUUUUAGUUUUUCAAAUCUGUUUUUGAAUACUGACUGUCCAAACAGCAAGAUACAAGUAACCACGUGUGUUCAGACUGUAGUAAUUUGCUGACAUGGCUACACUAGUUAUGGUAAUGGUGGGUGUGUAUGCAGUGGUGUACAGUUGUGGCCAAAAUAUUUGAGAAUGACACAUGAUUUUCAAAGUCUGCUGCCUCAGUUUGUAUGAUGACAAUUUGCAUAUACUCUAGAAUGUUAUGAAGAGUGAUCAGAUGAACUGCAAUUAAUUGCAAAGUCCCUCUUUGCCAUGCAAAUUAACUGAAUCCCCCCAACACAUUUCCACUGCAUUUCAGUCCUGCCACAAAAGGACCAGCUGACAUCAUGUCAGUGAUUCUCUCGUUAACACAGGUGUGAGUGUUGACAAAGACAAGGCUGGAGGUCACUCGGCCAUGCUGAUUGAGUUCGAAUAACAGACUGGAAGCUUCAAAGGAAGGGUGGUGCUUGGAAUCA
rnacentral:lncRNA from 13 species